UUUUGUGUUUGAAUGUUCUUGGUUUUUUCUCUGGCUCUCUGUCUUUUGUUCUUUUUCUCCCCUCUUUUCUUCUGUGUUCCAAUCUACCCCCAAAAAAUCUUGCAUGUAUAUUUAGGGAUCCUUUAUUGGAUGUAAAUGAUGAUAUCUAUUCGGUAGGAAUGAUUUUCCUAGGCCUGGCUUACACGGCGAGGAGACGAGCGGGGGGAUUCACGCGCCAGUUGGGUGGUGGCUCAGUGCCGACAGCGGCGACUGGUUGAAAUCUCCAUCUAGGGUUUCUUUUGUUUACUUUAAUCUGAAGUGAUCUGGACCCUUGACAGUCAUUAGGUCCAAUGGUGUAGAGCUGGAGGCGGCUGAAACUUGAGAUGGAAACCCUAAUCGGGUUUGGGUUGGUCUGUUGUAAUUUGGAUACGGGUUUGGGCCUCCUGCUUGGGUCUUGAACUAAUAAUACUAAUAGUAGAUAUAUAAGUUGUGUACAACUUAUAAUUGAUUUGAAGCUUAAACUAAUGAUUGAAUGAUUCAUCGUUUUCAAGUGUUGGGAGGUUAAUCCCUUCAAAAUAUCA